CAUUAAGAAGCUAUUUCAGCGUUAACCUUUUAAGUUAAAGACUGGGAGGACAAGCCCGCCCCUUAAUGA
rnacentral:tRNA from 1 species